rnacentral:rRNA from 1 species
AUACGUAGGGGGCGAGCGUUGUCCGGAAUGAUUGGGCGUAAAGGGCGCGUAGGCGGCGCGGUAAGUCUGGAGUGAAAGUCCUGCUUUCAAGGUGGGAAUUGCUUUGGAUACUGCCGCGCUUGAGUGCAGGAGAGGUUAUCGGAAUUCCCGGUGUAGCGGUGAAAUGCGUAGAGAUCGGGAGGAACACCAGCGGCGAAGGCGGUAACCUGGUCUGUUACUGACGCUCAGGCACGAAAGCGUGGGGAGCAAAUAGGAUUAGAUACCCUAGUAGUCCACGCCCUAAACGAUGAUUACUAAAUGUUGGGGAAACUCAGUGUUGCAGCUAACGCAAUAAGUAAUCCGCCUGGGGAGUAUGCACGCAAGUGUGAAACUUAAAGGAAUUGACGGGG